rnacentral:rRNA from 1 species
UCCGUAGUGAACCUGCGGAAGGAUCAUUACCGAGUGUAGGGUUCCUAGCGAGCCCAACCUCCCACCCGUGUUUACUGUACCUUAGUUGCUUCGGCGGGCCCGCCAUUCAUGGCCGCCGGGGGCUCUCAGCCCCGGGCCCGCGCCCGCCGGAGACACCACGAACUCUGUCUGAUCUAGUGAAGUCUGAGUUGAUUGUAUCGUAAUCAGUUAAAACUUUCAACAAUGGAUCUCUUGGUUCCGGCAUCGAUGAAGAACGCAGCGAAAUGCGAUAACUAGUGUGAAUUGCAGAAUUCCGUGAAUCAUCGAGUCUUUGAACGCACAUUGCGCCCCCUGGUAUUCCGGGGGGCAUGCCUGUCCGAGCGUCAUUGCUGCCCAUCAAGCACGGCUUGUGUGUUGGGUCGUCGUCCCCUCUCCGGGGGGGACGGGCCCCAAAGGCAGCGGCGGCACCGCGUCCGAUCCUCGAGCGUAUGGGGCUUUGUCACCCGCUCUGUAGGCCCGGCCGGCGCUUGCCGAACGCAAAUCAAUCUUUUUCCAGGUUGACCUCGGAUCAGGUAGGGAUACCCGCUGAACUUAAGCAUAUCAAUAAGCGGAGGA